AGAGUUUGAUCCUGGCUCAGAAUGAACGCUGGCGGCGUGCUUAACACAUGCAAGUCGUGCGCGAAGGUGGCUUCGGCUGCCGGAGAGCGGCGAACGGGUGAGUAACACGUGGGUAAUCUGCCUGGGAGCGGGGGAUAACCUGGGGAAACUCGGGCUAAUACCGCGUACGUUGGUGGGACUACGGUUCUGUCAAGAAAGCUGGCCUCUGCUUGCAAGCUAGCGCUCCCAGAGGAGCCCGCGGCUGAUUAGCUAGUUGGUGAGGUAAAGGCUCACCAAGGCAUCGAUCAGUAGCCGGCCUGAGAGGGUGAUCGGCCACACUGGGACUGAGACACGGCCCAGACUCCUACGGGAGGCAGCAGUGGGGAAUAUUGGACAAUGGGCGCAAGCCUGAUCCAGCAACGCCGCGUGGAGGAUGAAGGUCUUCGGAUCGUAAACUCCUGUCAGAUGGGACGAAGGUUCGGAGGCGAACAGUUUUCGAGCUUGACGGUACCAUCAGAGGAAGCCCCGGCUAACUCCGUGCCAGCAGCCGCGGUAAUACGGAGGGGGCGAGCGUUAUUCGGAAUUAUUGGGCGUAAAGGGCGCGUAGGCGGCCCGGUAAGUCAAAGGUGAAAUCCCUCGGCUCAACUGAGGAACUGCCUUUGAGACUGUCGGGCUUGAGGCCGGGAGAGGGUAGUGGAAUUCCCAGUGUAGCGGUGAAAUGCGUAGAUAUUGGGAGGAACACCAGUGGCGAAGGCGGCUACCUGGACCGGUUCUGACGCUGAGGCGCGAAAGCGUGGGUAGCAAACAGGAUUAGAUACCCUGGUAGUCC
rnacentral:rRNA from 1 species